GGCCGGCGGGGGCGGCGCCCAGGCGUCCGGCGGCGCGGGCGUCCGGCGGCCGGCGGCCCGCGGCGGGAGCCUGGCAGGGGCGGCCGCCGGAGGUAGGGACGCGGCCCGGCCGACCCCAGGGGCGGCGCCGGGAUCUGCAGGGGGGCGGCGGCGGGAUCUGGAGCGGCGGCGGCGGGAGGAGCGGCGGCGGUCGCCUGGAGGUCGAGGGUACCAGGGGAAAAUUUCUCCGCUUGCCCCAGAAGCGUGGUCUGACCCGCGUGGGAGAUAAGCGGAGUGCUAGUUGUAUUUCAGAUUCUCCAAUAAGCGGCUUACGUGACAAGCGGAAAAUAAGCAAGGUGUUUGGGUGGGUUUAUCGCUUAUUUUCACCAAUAAGCGGGAAAUAAGCGACUCCAAACAGGGCCUAAGAAUAGCCUUAGCCAAGCCAAGGGGCUCCUACCAGCAUCUGCUGGGGAGGCCCUGCGUCUGCGCGCUGUUCCAGUGCAGCUGUCGCGGCUCGUCGAUCGGAUGCGACAUCACCAUGGGGGUCAUCUGUGCAGCCGCCGGCUCGGCGGCGACGCUGCUCGUGACCUACAUCCACAAGCUCCGCCGCCGCGCCAACGCUGCCAACAACCCCGCGCCGCCCCCGGCCUUCGGCGUCCCACAGCCACCGCCACCGUACCACUACCACCCAUGAAGCAAGUUAGCCGCCGCGAUCAUGGCUUGUGACUUGGUGUUUCCGUUGGUAGAAUGUAACCUGAGUUGAUGCUUCAUGCCGACACAAAGCAUAUAACCUUAGCCUAUCUCAGUCAAUAGAUUGAUUACGCGUGAUUAUUUCCGCUAUCAAUAAUCUUUAUCUUUAUCUUUACCUAAUAUUAAAGCAAGCAACUAAUCCUUCGUGUUUUCUGCCAGGUUAGUUUAGUUUUUCGUCCGUCCGAUGCUACUUAUCAGUUUUUUCGGUCCGUCGGUACGUGCUCAGACGCAGGGAAUUACCGAUACGGAGCCGACCUCGAGGCUCGAACGUCGCCGCUGCAAUCGAGCCCUUGGCGCGCACGCCAAGGAGCGUCGCCGGGGCCCGUCUAGCAUGCCGAACCCAAUCCGCGAGUGCUCGGCGGCUCCGUUCCAGCCCUCCCGCGCCGUCGCUCCGCUGCCCUGGCGCACUCGCCGUCCGCGUGUUGUCCAAAGCAAGGCAGGUAAGCACCGUCCAUCUUCAGCCUCGGACCUUGCUGCUCUGUUGCCGCACGGCGUCGUCCCUGGUCGAGCGGCCGUGGUGUGCCCAGCAUGUCUGAGUCUGACGUUAAUUUGUUCUGUGCUCCUUCUAUGCUACAAAAUGUGUUGAUCUGAUGUGAUUUGCUUGCUCGGUGGUGUUAGCUCUGCUUGCUGCUGCAGUGCUGCUUCGUGGUCAGCAGUGCUACUGCAUGCACUUUGGUUGUUCGAUGAAAUGCCUGUUCAAGUUAAUUAUUACUUUGGCAAUUGUGCUGGCAUAUGCUAGCUGCAGGUAGUUUAUAAUUAGAUGAUGUGGCCUUCUUUGAACAAACAAAUUGUGUGAUUUUUUUAUGACCCUUUUAACUGUUAAAAUAACAACCAUUCAGAUAUAUAGGCUAUAACAGUAAUGCAACCAUUCAAAAUAUAGAGAUGAAUCUUAUGGGGUGGAUAGGCAAAUAGAGAUAUAGAGAGUCUGACUUGGUGAGUACAUGCUGGACAUGGUGUAAGAGAGACAAAGAUGGAAAACCAGAUACACAUUGAACUCUAGCGCCAAGUAUUUUGACACCUUCUUUGACUUGAUGAGGGCAUCAAAUGAACGAAGUGAGUACCAAUUACAUUGAAUCAUCCUUCGCCUGCAUGCUUUACUUGUGAAAAAAAUUCAAUAGAGAAUAUCCUCUCGCUUGAGUCUUUCUGCAUCCCACAAAAUGCUAGGAAAAUCAUCGGCAUCGGUGUGCCACGUCAGCAACGUCAAUUUUCUAAUUAAAGACAAUGGCUAAGAAACACGAUGGGUUUAUGAUUUUCUAGAGCUUUCCCGCUCAUUUAGAUAGAUAUUCUAGAUAAUAUUGAUAUUCAAUUUACAUUUCUGCGAUACAAUUGAUCAAUCGCGAGCUGUUUUUCUUGUAGAUGGCUUCUUUGAAAUAAUCUGAGGACCCUCCGUUGAUAAACCUAAACGGGACCCACCAGCAUAGACGGUGACAACAUUAGAAAUGGCAAUGGGUCCAUGACAAUUGACAUUGAGCUACCACCUACUCACAGAUCCUAAAGAACAUAAAAGUCAGCUAGCAAGAAAGAAAUAGGUAUGCACAAAUGUCUCACCAUCAAAAGGAUGAAUUACUAAAAAAUGGCACCUCAAUUACUAAAAAAACAUGCCAUUUUUCAUUGGUUUGUUUUAUCAAUCUUAUAUCCAAUCUUGCUCAAGAAAAUUAAUAUUAUUUAGGCCCGAAUUCCUAAUAUUAUUGAAGUCUAUUUUGAUAAUAAUUAAUAUGGAUAUAAAUCAAGUCAUCCUUGAGGUUUUGGUCAUGUUUGCUGGGCAAUGGGUAGGCAAGAAUUUUUUUCCCCUCCCGUUACAACGCACGGGUAUAUUUGCAGGCAUAGUUGGUAGUAGAAUGGUAAGUUUAACACGGUCAGCAUACUCAUGUCUUAGAAUACACAGCAGACAAAGUUCUGACUUCUGAGCAUAAGAGAACAACAAGUCUGGUCGGCUAGAUUAAGAUGAUGACAAGUAGUUCUUGGAUGAUAGAGUAGGCUAAUAAGUAACGCGGCUGUGCACAGCUGCGAUUAUUGUUUGAUGGGCCAUGUGGUCGUAGGCUUACGCCCUGUUUGAUACAAACUCCUAAAGUUUAGUAGUGUACUAAAGUUUAGGACCCUUAAAUUGCUAGUUCUAACAGGGCUGUUUGGAUGGACUACUAAUCUUUAGGAUCUUAGAGGGAAAAUAUCAUUUUUACCCCUCAAUUACUCCUCUAAACUACCCCUACACUGUUCACGUCAUUAAUGCAUGCGAGGACAAUAGGGAAAGGGGGACUUAGGGACCACUUUUAGGAGAAAUAGGAUCCAUUAUGACCCCUUGGCCCUCCUAAUGAGAGGUUGGGGCUUCUCUGUCUCCUUUGCAUGUCUCCAUCCAUGUCUCUGCACACGUGGAUGCCAUCCGUUCACUUCUUGGGCCCUUUAAUUUUUCCUCAGCCCACGACAACAGAAAACGGAGUCAGGAAACGAAGGGUUAGGGAGAAUGGCCCCACGUGCGCUUGUUUCUUUGGCCCCACUAACGUAAUUACGAGGGUUAGGGAGAAUUAAUGGAGGGAAAAGCUGCCUAAUUUUGAAGAAAAUGGCGCCAAUUACAGCGGGUGCAGUUUUUAUCGGCCGCCAAGCUAACAACACUAAAAACACAAAAAGAUAAUUAUCAGAUUUCCAUCUUCCUCAUCUCCCACACAACAACAAUGGCAUCUCAGUCAAAUCACAUUACACCUAUCAACGAAGACAACUACUUGGAUCGGGCACCGCCAUUACUUCCACAAGUACUAAGCAUGGCCAUGCCGCCGGUUGCAGGUACCACAUCCUCGCCAAAUUUCUGUAGGAUCAACAUUCCUUCUGGUCAUACGGAAUGAAUAGAGUUAGAAAAUGAUUCUGGUAAAUUUGAUUUUGCUACUCGAGUAGAAAAUUCUCUAGAAGACAGGAUACCAAAGGUUGGUAUGAAAUUCUGCACUGAGGAAGAAGCCUAUAACUUUUACAAUGCUUACGCCAGAUACAAGGGUUUCAGCAUCCGAAGGAGUAGUUCACACAAUGUUAAAAAUACUACAACAAUAAAGAACAGAACCUUUUGUUGUUCUCGUGCAGGUAUUCGGGGUCCUGAUAAAAGAGAAGAAAAUUCCAAGUACAGUAGGCCUGAGACACGAUGCAUGUGUCAAGCACGCAUGAAGAUAAGUCUCACGGAUGGGUUGUACUACAUCUAUGAAUUUGAGCCUGAGCAUAACCAUAUUCUUGCUACUGUCAUCCAAGCCCAGUACUUAAGAUCUCAAAGGAGAAUAACUACAGCACAGAUUGCCAGUGUCGAAGCUGCUAAAGCGGUUGGGGUUUCAAAUAAAGCCACUUUUGAUCUCAUGGCAAAAGAAGCCGGUGGAAAUGAGAAUCUUGGAUUUACGCGUGAAGAUAUGAAAAAUAAAUUAUAUUCAAAGAGAUCAAUGAAGGUAAAACAAGGAGACACGGGAGGAGUGUUGGAAUAUUUGGAGAAGAAAGCAUCAGAAGAUGGGAAGUUUUUCCAUUCCUUUCAGGUUGACGAUGAUGACUUGAUAACGAAUAUUUUUUGGGCUGAUUCUAAAAUGGUUUCAGACUAUGAAAUUUAUGGUGAUGUCGUUUGCUUUGACACAACAUACAGAAAGCUAAAUGAUGGGCGUCCAUUCGGUUUGCUAGUUGGAGUGAACAAUCAUAAGAAAACUACUAUUUUUGGUGCUGCACUUUUGUAUGACGAAACUGCUGAAAGUUUUGUGUGGCU